AGAGUUUGAUUCUGGCUCAGGAUAAACGCUGGCGGCGUGCUUAACACAUGCAAGUCGAACGGAGUAAUUCUCCCGAAGAUUGAAGAAGCUUGCUUCUGAAAGAUUCAUUUGAAUUACUUAGUGGCGGACGGGUGAGUAACGCGUGGGAAACCUGCCCUAUACUGGGGGAUAGCAGUUGGAAACGACUGAUAAUACCGCAUAAGCGCACAGCUUCGCAUGAAGUAGUGUGAAAAACUCCGGUGGUAUAGGAUGGUCCCGCGUCUGAUUAGCUAGUUGGUGAGGUAACGGCCCACCAAGGCGACGAUCAGUAGCCGGCCUGAGAGGGUGUACGGCCACAUUGGGACUGAGACACGGCCCAAACUCCUACGGGAGGCAGCAGUGGGGAAUAUUGGACAAUGGGGGAAACCCUGAUCCCAGCGACGCCGCGUGAACGAAGAAGUAUUUCGGUAUGUAAAGUUCUAUCAGCAGGGAAGAUAAUGACGGUACCUGACUAAGAAGCACCGGCUAAAUACGUGCCAGCCGCCGC
rnacentral:rRNA from 1 species